GCAUCAAUGGGCUAGUGGUCAGGAUUCAACCCUUCCAAGAUUGAGGGGGGGGGGGGGGGGGGGGGGUUUCGAUUCCCUCUUGAUGCA